rnacentral:rRNA from 1 species
UAACAGGAUUAGAUACCCUGGUAGUCCACGCCGUAAACGAUGUCUACUCGGAGUUUGGUGUCUUGAACACUGGGCUCUCAAGCUAACGCAUUAAGUAGACCGCCUGGGGAGUACGGCCGCAAGGUUAAAACUCAAAUGAAUUGACGGGGGCCCGCACAAGCGGUGGAGCAUGUGGUUUAAUUCGAUGCAACGCGAAGAACCUUACCUACUCUUGACAUCCAGAGAAUUCGCUAGAGAUAGCUUAGUGCCUUCGGGAACUCUGAGACAGGUGCUGCAUGGCUGUCGUCAGCUCGUGUUGUGAAAUGUUGGGUUAAGUUCCGCAACGAGCGCAACCCCUAUCCUUAUUUGCCAGCACGUAAUGGUGGGAACUCUAGGGAGACUGCCGGUGAUAAACCGGAGGAAGGUGGGGACGACGUCAAGUCAUCAUGGCCCUUACGAGUAGGGCUACACACGUGCUACAAUGGCGAGUACAGAGGGUUGCAAGGCCGCGAGGUGGAGCUAAUCUCACAAAGCUCGUCGUAGUCCGGAUUGGAGUCUGCAACUCGACUCCAUGAAGUCGGAAUCGCUAGUAAUCGUGGAUCAGAAUGCCACGGUGAAUACGUUCCCGGGCCUUGUACACACCGCCCGUCACACCAUGGGAGUGGGCUGCAAAAGAGGUGGGUAGCUUAACCUUCGGGGGGGCGCUCACCACUUUGUGGUUCAUGACUGGGGUGAAGUCGUAACAAGGUAACCA